AUGGCUCACCUGCACCAAAAGAAGCAGCAUCCAUUCCUCUGCAAUACUCCAUUCCUCCUCCAAUCUCUGCACAAACCAAUCGCUGCAAAAAAUCAGCUCACCUGCUUGCUUCAACAGACAGACAUCACCUGUAAAUUCAGAAGACAGACUUGCGCUGUGGGCGAGCGGGGAGCAGAAGCAGAAGCGGCAGCGGCGGCGCUGGUGGAGCCAAGAGUGCAGGUCCUCCAUCAUCAGCCCACCAGCUCGAGGAGCAAGAUGAGCUGCUGGAGCAAGUCUUCGUCUUCCCCAUGCCCUGGUCGUCUUUCCCAUGCCACCGCCGCCGGAGCUCGAGGUCUGGAGGGGGUGCUCGAGAACGAGGAGCGGGUCAUCGAGCGCCGCCGACGCAGCCGGCAAGGCACGAGCUUUACAGAAAAGGAGAUCCUUCCCUCUUGA
rnacentral:rRNA from 1 species